GCAGUCCUAUACAUGUUAAAUGUCACAGUAUAUCCUAGAUACAAUAUAUGUGUGCAGAACCGAACAGUUCUCUUGUUGCACAGGGAGAAUUGGAUUCAGAAGGUAUAAGUAACCUGGGAAGAAAAACAAAAAUGCAAACAGUUUAUAUUCAUUUCCCAGUGUUCUUUCUUUGGGUGUAGCUGCUUCUGUCCAAAAUUGAGUUAGAGCUUCUCUUUGUCAAAGAAAUCCACUUCCAUCAGAAUGCGUCCUCAUACAGUAUCCUUGUUGAAGUGUAUAAGGUCAUUAUUAUUAUUUUUACCUUGCUUUCCUCCUCUUUUAAAUAGUUGUUGUUGUUUAGUUAUUUGAGUCAUACCUGAAUCUGACCGUACUUGAAGUUUUCUUGACAAAGACACAUGAGUUUUUCAACUCAUUUCAUGGGGAAAUUGAGGCAAAUAGUAUUAAGUAUUUGAAACUGGAUUUGAACUCAAGUCUUCUUGACUUCAAGCCUGGUAUUCUAUUCAUGGCUCCCCCUUGAUGCUUUCCUCUCUUAAGUAGGGAUCAUAAUAACACCUACUCCCAGCGUUAUUGUGAGAAUCUCACUGCAUAUUUGUAAAGCAUAUCUGCCUAGCAAAGUGCUUGGCAAAGAGUGAUCACUCUAUAAGCAUAAAUCACUUACCCUCAUUUUGGUUUUCUCAUUUGUAAAAUGGAGACAAUAAUAGCAGCUCAUUCCCCAGGGUUGUUGUGAGAAUCACACUGCAUGUUUGUAAAGUGCUUAGAAAGCCACCUGGCAAAUAGGGAUGGCUUUGUAAUUGUUAACUACUAUUAUUAUUAUUACAUUCCAAACAUUGUGUUGAGGGAUGGGGUUUACAACAGCCAAGAAAUGCCAUGGAUAGAAUGCAGAGUGGAGACUGCAAAUCUGGCCUCCGAUUUGCCUCAAUUCAUUCUGAAUUUUAACAUAAUCCUUAUAGUGUUCUUUACAAACCGAUUUAAUCUUUUGUGUUAUCUACUCAUUCUCAUCUUCUGUAUAUGUCUCAUGUUCCCACUAUAUCCAGAAUCAUUUCUAGUUAUCCUGAUCUAUAUCUAGCCACUGGAUGCAGAUGACCCCAGAUGCAGGAGAAAAACUGAGAUCAGAACUGUGUAUGGACCAUAGAGUUACCAAUCAACACCAGCUAUAUAGCAUGCCAGAAUAGGAUCUUCUGCCCAGCCCCAGGAAGGAGAUAAUAAAGGAUGAGGACUAUAAGAAAGCUAACCAGGCCCCAGGAAAGGAGACAAGACUUUGAAAGAGACAAUAAAGGACUGGGACUUUAA